rnacentral:rRNA from 1 species
AUGAGAUCGCUGGCUGGCUGGCUGGCUGGCUAUAGCUCCGCCCAUCCAUUCCAGUGGGCCGGAGACAGCAUGCACAAAGGCGACGCGAGUAUGCUACUAUGUAGGACCGAGGAUCAAUGUCGCAUGCAGCCACCUUUUGCUGUCCCGCGUGUUGUCGACGCCGACUGUUCGAUCCUGGUGUCCCUAGCUCACUCAGAGCGAGGACUGCCGAGUAAGCUCUAUAUCCGCGACAUGGAUGAGGUGAGGAGUUCUUACCUCAAGACGAAAGAUGUCUUCAUUUUUCAAGUUACCAUCCACAAUCAUGUAGAUCACACAUAUUUUGGUUGUCCUAGCCAAAGCUAA